rnacentral:misc_RNA from 1 species
UCCGGUUUAACACCGGCGGUCCCAAUAGAGUUCCCGGCCUAGCCGUUGGCAACUAUUGGCAAGGGUUGCGCUCGUUGCGGGACUUAACCCAACAUCUCACGACACGAGCUGACGACAGCCAUGCAGCACCUCUGUAGCAGUCCCGAAGGAAGAGUGCAUUUCUGCACCUGUCCACCACAGUUCAAACCCAGGUAAGGUUCUUCGCGUUGCGUCGAAUUAAACCACAUGCUCCACCGCUUGUGCGAGCCCCCGUCAAUUCCGUUUGAGUUUUAAUCUUGCGACCGUACUCCUCAGGCGGAGUGCUUAACGCGUUAGCUUUGGCACUGCAGGGGUCAAUACCCGCAACACCUAGCACUCAUCGUUUACGGCGUGGACUAC